rnacentral:rRNA from 1 species
AUUGAACGCUGGCGGCAGGCCUAACACAUGCAAGUCGGACGGUAGCACAGAGGAGCUUGCUCCUUGGGUGACGAGUGGCGGACGGGUGAGUAAUGUCUGGGGAUCUGCCCGAUAGAGGGGGAUAACCACUGGAAACGGUGGCUAAUACCGCAUAACGUCGCAAGACCAAAGAGGGGGACCUUCGGGCCUCUCACUAUCGGAUGAACCCAGAUGGGAUUAGCUAGUAGGCGGGGUAAUGGCCCACCUAGGCGACGAUCCCUAGCUGGUCUGAGAGGAUGACCAGCCACACUGGAACUGAGACACGGUCCAGACUCCUACGGGAGGCAGCAGUGGGGAAUAUUGCACAAUGGGCGCAAGCCUGAUGCAGCCAUGCCGCGUGUAUGAAGAAGGCCUUCGGGUUGUAAAGUACUUUCAGCGGGGAGGAAGGCGGUGAGGUUAAUAACCUCACCGAUUGACGUUACCCGCAGAAGAAGCACCGGCUAACUCCGUGCCAGCCGCCGCAGUAA